rnacentral:rRNA from 1 species
CCUACGGGUGGCUGCAGUGAGGAAUAUUGGUCAAUGGUCGGGAGUCUGAACCAGCCAAGCCGCGUGAAGGACGAAGGUACCAAGUAUUGUAAACCUCUUUUGUCAGGGAACAAAAUCUGGCACGCGUGCCCGUCUGUGUGUACCUUAAGAAAAAGCAUCGGCUAACUCCGUGCCAGCAGCCGCGGUAAUACGGAGGAUGCGAGCGUUAUCCGGAUUUAUUGGGUUUAAAGGGUGCGCAGGCGGACGGUUAAGUCAGCGGUAAAAGCCCGGGGCUCAACCCCGGCGCGCCGUUGAAACUGGCAGUCUUGAGUGGGCGAGAGGUAGGCGGAAUGCGCGGUGUAGCGGUGAAAUGCUUAGAUAUCGCGCAGAACUCCGAUUGCGAAGGCAGCAUGCCGG